rnacentral:tRNA from 4 species
GGGCCUGUAGCUCAAUGGUUAGAGCCGGCCGCUCAUAACGGUCUGGUUCCCGGUUCGAGUCCGGGCGGGCCCACCA